GUGGCCUUGAGAAGAAAGAGGCUGCGAGGCGGCGACUGCGAAAUGAGCAAGCUGAAGACGGCGCCCUAUUCUGGGUGGCAGGCGACGCGGAGGGAACGAGGCAAGUGGCGGAGCGGCCGGGUAUUUAUAGAGCAACGCGCGCGCGCGCCCGGCUCGGGCCCCGCCCCUCGGUGCCGCGCGCCAAUGCACCACUCGCGCGCGGGUUCAGGGGAGCCCGGGCGGUGCGCCGAGUCCGGGCCGGGCUGAACCACUUUGCGAGGCAGGGGGAUCCAGCGGAGGCAACCGCCCCGCCUGCGAAUAUUUACCUAUCUAAAGCUGUUACAACAAGAGUUUUGCCCAUUAAAGGAAUUAUAGAGAGCGAAGGAAAAAGAGCAAAACAAAACUUGAGCCAACAAGGAACCAAUUUCGUGGAGUCGCCGUCUGGAGGGAGCCCACAGUGAGGGCUGGUGUGGUGACCUGAGCGCGCGCUGGUGACAAGGACGCCGGGCUUAAUGCUCUUAUUAGGGAGCGGCCUGCUGCUAGCAUGAGACGGACUUCGCACUGGGGAACUGAACGAGACCCCCUGUAACAGUCUCCAGCUGCCAUUGCUCAGAGAAUGAGCUCAGCUGCCACUUCCUGGGUGAAGACUUCACCUACACAGAUUUUUCACAGGAUCUUGUGCUUUCCUUCCUGGCAGCCCAAUAAAGAAGUGUGAGAUGGAAGAAUGCGUGAGAUACAGUGAAGAAGAUACUGAAGGACAUAAUAAUGUGAUGACAAUAGCUACAAUUAUUGUGACAGGCAAUGUUGUGAUAUCUACUCCUCACAACAACUCUAAUGAGGCAGUUACUAUUUCUCUUCCUGUUUUACAGAUGAAGAAACUAGCAUGUAAUUUGUCCAAGUCACACAUCAAAUCAGUAGUGGAACUGGGACUUGAGCCUCGGACUGACCUCUAAAUUCAUGCCCCUUGUUAUAGCCAAACAAUAAAUACAUCACACUCCUGAGGUAA